UCACCAGAGUAACAAUUGGAGGGCAAGUCUGGUGCCAGCAGCCGCGGUAAUUCCAGCUCCAAUAGCGUAUAUUAAACUUGUUGCAGUUAAAAAGCUCGUAGUUGAAUUUUUGCGUGGUGUUAAUAUUGACUGAUGUCGAGAUUGCACUUCGCUUUUGGGAUUUUCCCCUUUUUACUUUGAGAAAAUUAGAGUGUUUCAAGCAGACUUUUGUCUUGAAUACUUCAGCAUGGAAUAAUAGAGUAGGACUUUGGUUCUAUUUUGUUGGUUUGUGAACCUUAGUAAUGGUUAAUAGGAACGGUUGGGGGCAUUCGUAUUUAACUGUCAGAGGUGAAAUUCUUAGAUUUGUUAAAGACGAACUACUGCGAAAGCAUUUGCCAAGGACGUUUUCAUUAAUCAAGAACGAAAGUUAGGGGAUCGAAGACGAUCAGAUACCGUCGUAGUCCUAACCAUAAACUAUGCCGACUAGGGAUUGGAGGUCGUCAUUUUUCCGACUCCUUCAGCACCUUGAGA
rnacentral:rRNA from 1 species